AACGGGGGGAGCUAGUGUUAUUCAUCUUGACUGGGCGUAAAGGGUGCGUAGGUGGUUUUUAAGAAGUUAAAUUAAAGAAUCUAAACAUAAUUUAGAAAUUAAUUUUCCAGAUAAAGAACUAGAGGAUAAAAGAGGUUUGUUGUAUUUUCAAUGGAGAAAUAAAGUUCUAAGAUAUUGAGAGGACGUCCUAAUGGCAGAAGCUACAAGCCAAAAUGUUUCUGACGCUGAGGCACGAAAGCAUGGGUAUCAAAUGGG
rnacentral:rRNA from 1 species